GAAAUUGGAAAUUGGAAUUGUAGCGCUGAAGCUCGUCUUCGAGCUUGAAAUUGCAGGAGUCGGUGCUUAGAAAUUCCAGAGAUUUUUUCCCCUUAAAAUGUCAAUUUCGAAUGCAAUUCUACAGUUCUAGUUUCACACGGAGAAAAUUGCCGAGCGUUGGGUUCUUGUAGUCUCUGAGUUGCUCUAUUCUCUGAUUUUUGGUUCUUAAUCGAGAAAUAAGCGUUCAAGAGGAAGAUAUACGUAGUUUAGGUGUAAAAUGAUUGAUCUGUUUCUGGCUGAGCCUGUCUUUAACGAAGAAGAUGAUGUUGGCUCUGCGAAGUUGAGAAUUUCUUUGUUAAGCAGAUUAGAAUCUGUUUUAUGGAAAUUGCUGGCUUCUGGAGGACGGUCCGAGGUCCGAUUAUGGCUUUCUAAUACUAUAGCUAGUAUGACAUCUAUCAGUCCCCAGCAUCAGCGAGAACUGUUCAUGACCUUUCUGAGAUCGAAGCCACUGAAGUGGGACUUUGCAUCUCACUUACUGCAAAUGUUCUUUGAAAAGAGACAACGAGAAGCAGGAGUUCUCAUUGCCAAGAGAAGCUACAUCAUGGAGAAGUUUUUUGAAGGAAACCCAAGACGAAUAUCUCAGUGGUUUUCGAAUUUUGCUACAAAUGGUGCAUCUGAUCAUGGAAAAGGUGCCAAGGCCUUGGCACAGUUUUCUUUUGUAAAUCGAGACAUUUGCUGGGAGGAGCUUGAGUGGAACGGGAAACACGGGCAGUCUCCUGCCGUGGUUGCGACAAAGCCCCAUUAUUUUCUUGAUCUGGAUGUGCAUCAAACUGUGAAGAAUUUCAUUAAGAAUGUACCUGAGUUUUGGUAUUCCAAUGAGUUUUCCGAGUCACUAAAAGAUGGUGAAAUUUUGUUCCUCGAUACAAAAUUCUUCGUGAAAUAUCUCUUCGAUCAAAUGCUUAAAGAUGAUUCAAGAGAUGUUUGGGAUGCCAUUAAUGAGUUCCUAACGCAGGAGCCAUUUUCUUCAUUAUGUCAACACCUCCUUAUUACUCUUGAAGAAGCUGAUUUCUGCUGCUUUCUAAAAAUGCUAUGUAAACUCCUCCGCCCCAGUAGGGAAACCAAGGAUUUUGGUAAUUCAUCUUUUCUGUUUGAGGUCGUACUUUCUAAAUAUGGUGACGCUGAAUCUCUAGAUCAGAUUUUACUAUUAAACGCUGUCAUUAAUCAAGGACGCCAACUUCUACGGUUUGUACAAGAUGAAGAUGCAGAGGAAGAAUUGGAUGAAAUCAAGACUAUUAUUUACGAGAUUUCAGCAAUCUCAAGCAACACUCAUAGCUUAUCCCCGCUAUUGAAAGAGUGCUACAGGAGAAAAAAGACAAUAGAGGUGAUAAAAUGGCUAGGGCUUCAGUCUUGGGUUCUUCACUAUAGAAUGUCAGAUGAAUGUCAAACUUCUGAGUUAUGGGAAUCCUUGUUUGUUGAUAAUGGCAUAUGCUUCCGAAAAUCUAAUGAAUAUGCAUUGUUAGAUCACAGCUGUCUAUCAGAAGAUGAUGGUUUUGAACCGUGUAAUACAGCAUCAGUUAAAUCUAAGAAGCGAAAAAGAGGGAAAAAAGGUAGAAAAAGAAGAAAAAGGGACUUUGACGAUGAGGAUAGCUGCGACGAUGAGCUGUUGGACUUUGAUAUUAAAAGGGAUAAAACGGAUUUGAAGUUAAACACUGGAAGUUGGUUGCUUUCCAUUGACAACUAUACCGUACCAUGGAAUGCUAUUGAUCUACCAGAAUACCUAUCAAAGCAAUGUAUGGCUUCAUGGAUGAAAUGGCUGUUUACUAACCGAGAAUGAAGAAUGAAGCUUUGCUAGUAGUGUGAAAUAUAUCCAGCAUUCGGAAGGAGGCUGGUUACGAUCUUCGGAAACCGUGAUGUCGCAACAAGAUCACUGUUACCAACAGAUGUAAUCGCGAUCAAAUGAAUUGGUAAGGCAAGGGAUCAUGUGAUGACCACAGGCUCGUUGUACUAUACAUGAUGUAGCAUCUACGGAUAUUAUGAUUCACUUAAGAAUCAAAAUCUCUAAACCCAUGUGCUCGGAUGAAAGUCAGCCUUAGUAAUCCGACGAUGCCGAGUGGAAGGGUCGUUGCUCAAUAGAUAAAAGUUACUCUACAGGUAACAAGCUGAUCUUCUCCAAGAGCUCACAUCAACGGGAAGGUUUGACACCUGGAUGUCAGCUCUUCGUCACCUGGGGUUGUUGUAUGUUCCAAGGGUUGGAUUGUUCGCCCAUUAAAGUGGUACGUGACAGAAGGCUUGAUCCUCAUUGAACUUUGUCUCCAGCUUUGGGGUUCAAAUCCGAGCAAAGCGCAUAAAUGAAGGGGGAAAUACAACCUUACUUGAACAGGAUUUGCUUUUUAGACUAUGCGGGUGCAUCCCGACCUCGAGUUCUAAGAAGGGGGAAGUAGAAUCGACAAUGGAGGGGAUGGUAAGUGUA